CCUACGGGCGGCAGCAGUGAGGAAUAUUGGUCAAUGGACGAGAGUCUGAACCAGCCAAGUAGCGUGAAGGAUGACUGCCCUAUGGGUUGUAAACUUCUUUUAUAAAGGAAUAAAGCGAGGUACGUGUGCCGCUUUGCAUGUACUUUAUGAAUAAGGAUCGGCUAACUCCGUGCCAGCAGCCGCGGUAAUACGGAGGAUCCGAGCGUUAUCCGGAUUUGUUGGGUUUAAAGGGAGCGUAGACGGGUUGUUAAGUCAGUUGUGAAAGUUUGCGGCUCAACCGUAAAAUUGCAAUUGAUACUGGCAGUCUUGAGUACAGUUGAGGUAGGCGGAAUUCGUGGUGUAGCGGGGAAAUGCUUAGAUAUCACGAAGAACCCCGAUUGCGAAGGCAGCUUGCUAAACUGUAACUGACAUUGAUGCUCGAAAGUGUGGGUAUCAAACAGGAUUAGAUACCCUAGUAGUC
rnacentral:rRNA from 1 species